GAGGGCCUCCAUCUGGCUAGUAACAAGAUCUGGCUUUCCCCCGUGGUGUCUGAUUUGAGUUAUGAUGAAAAUAGAUGACGCCGUUCCCUGUGUUUGCCUUACGUCAGCAGAGCCGAACCAAGCCAGCAACUUACUAUGGGCAAACUAGCGCAUAAAUAAUGAGUGUGGCAACUUGGCAGGAGCCCAAGCACAGGGAAAAGAUCAUGAAGCUCCCACUACCAGGAAAAGGUCAUAACCAUAGGAAAUAUUGUAUGGACUGAAAGAGGAUGAAAAACAAAGUCAUGAAAAUCCCACUUUUAUCAGAAGAUCUUCCAGCUGAUUAUUUUAAAACAGAUGGAUGUCAUAGAUACUGAAGAUGAACCAGAUGUGUAUUCCUUACAUAUUUCAAGAAUUGGAGAGACCUGCCUGACUUUACAAGUAGUGCAAAUGAGUGAUCCUGAGGCAGGUGAGUA